rnacentral:rRNA from 1 species
AAUCAACGCUGGCGGCGUGCCUAACACAUGCAAGUCGAGCGAGAAAAGGGGAGCAAUCCUCUGAGUAAAGCGGCGCACGGGUGAGUAACACGUGGGUAAUCUGCCCUGGAGUGGGGAAUAACACCGGGAAACCGGUGCUAAUACCGCAUACGAUCACAGAGUCUGCGGAUUUUGUGAUGAAAGGAGCAAUUCGCUCUAGGAGGAGCCCGCGGCUGAUUAGCUAGUUGGUGAGGUAACGGCUCACCAAGGCAACGAUCAGUAUCCGGUCUGAGAGGACGGUCGGACACACUGGAACUGAGACACGGUCCAGACUCCUACGGGAGGCAGCAGUGGGGAAUUUUUGGCAAUGGGGGCAACCCUGACCAAGCAACGCCGCGUGGGUGAUGAAGUCUCUUGGGACGUAAAACCCUUUCGACGGGGACGAAAGCCGCAAGGUUUGACGGUACCCGUAGAAGAAGCCCCGGCUAACUCCGUGCCAGCAGCCGCGGUAAUACGGGGGGGGCAAGCGUUGUUCGGAAUUACUGGGCGUAAAGGGCGCGUAGGCGGUUCGCUAAGUCGGAUGUGAAAACUCUGGGCUCAACCCAGAGCCUGCAUCCGAAACUGGCGGGCUAGAGUUC